ACGGAAGGCAGCAGUGGGGGAUAUUGCACAAUGGGGGAAGCCCUGAUGCAGCGACGCCGCGUGAGUGAUGAAGUAUUUCGGUAUGUAAAGCUCUAUCAGCAGGAAAGAUAAUGACGGUACCUGACUAAGAAGCACCGGCUAAAUACGUGCCAGCAGCCGCGGUAAUACGUAUGGUGCAAGCGUUAUCCGGAUUUACUGGGUGUAAAGGGAGCGCAGGCGGCAGGGCAAGUCUGAUGUGAAAACCCGGGGCUUAACUUCGGGACUGCAUUGGAAACUGCUCAGCUUGAGUGUCGGAGAGGUAAGUGGAAUUCCUAGUGUAGCGGUGAAAUGCGUAGAUAUUAGGAGGAACACCAGUGGCGAAGGCGGCUUACUGGACGACAACUGACGCUGAGGCUCGAAAGCGUGGGGAGCAAACAGGAUUAGAUACCCUGGUA
rnacentral:rRNA from 1 species